ensembl:lncRNA
UUUUUUUUAGGGUCACAAAAAAACUAUAAAACUUAAAGAAUACUUUAGAAAACCUAUGUGAUUAGAGUUGGAAAGAUCAGUAUGAACUCAUGUUUAGCUUAAUAUAGACACACAGAAAUAUUUAUAGAUACAUUUAUAUGCAUGGGUUAGUAAGCACUCAUGUAUUUUCUUGCUCUGUCAGCUGAAAGGGCCUAGAAUCAAUAAUACCCUGGCAGCAACAAGCACACUUAGCACCUAGAUCUUGGUUUCUACUACCCUUCUGCAAUAAAAGGAACCAGAGCUCCUUGGGGAAAUGCCUGAGCAUUCCAGGGGAGGGGUGGGAAAAUUUUAAAGAUGAGCCUGGAGCAGCCUGUACUGUCAGAAAGUAAAGAAGUAUAAAAAAAAAUUAAUCAAGGAUCCACCUUGAAAGGGUUUCUAGUGCCAAAGCUGGACUAACUUGAGCAAGAGAAAAAUAAAUGGUAUUGAUUAUAAUCCAUAGUAUAAAAUGAGUUCACACUGAUAAAAAUUAGUAAAUGAAUAAAUUAAUAAUGGGGGGAAUAGAAAAAUAUUCCAUACAGAAGAAUUCCAAAUAAUUUAUGAAGAUAUUCUGUCUUCAAAGAAGUGAGGCAUAACUCCUCACUCUAGACGUAAGGGCUGUAUUUAGUCACUUAAUUCCAAAAAGUACAGUACGGAAAGAGGGGGAAAAAAAAAAGAGUACAGGGGAAGCACCUGACAAAUACUACCUCAACCAGGUGAUCAACAUAAACCUCAACAGUGAUGAAUCAUGUUCACAGUAUGUACCCUUGAUCUGAUGUGAUGAGAAAGGCACUUGACCUCUGUGGUCUUCCUCCUCAAAGUCCGUAAACAGACUAAUCAUAUGAAAAACGUCCAGAAAAAAAAAAAAAAAAGAAAAAAAAAAGAAAACCCAGUUGAAGGACAUUCCACAAAAAAAUAUGAAAAAAUAUGACCCAUACUUCUUAAAACUCAAGGUAAUGAAAAAUAAGUAAAGUCUGAGGAAACUAUCAGAGCCAAGAGGACCCUGAGAGGACAUGAAAGUCUGCUAUAGUAUCUUAGAUAGGAUUCUGGAAGAGAAAUAAGUACAUUAGGUAAAAACUAAGGAAAUCCAAAUAAAGUGUAGAUUUUAGUUAAUAAUAACAUGUCAGUAUUGAUGUAUUUAUUGUGACCUAUGUACCAUAUUAACAUAAUAUGUUAAUAAUAGGGAUGACUAAAUGGGGGUGUGUAUGGGAGCUCUCUGUGCUAUGUUAAUAAAUUUUCUGCAAAUUUAAGGCUACUCUAAAAUUAAUUACUUAUUUUUAAAAUCAGAGAAGUAAAUAGAUUGCCCAGUAAAUUAAAAAUCAGUUCAACUUCAGUAAUAAACAUGAAAUACAAUUUUUUAAAAAAAGAAAAGACAGGUUUCUGAUGAUCUUGUACCAGACCGUCCUUCCAAGAGCAUCUAUAAAAGAUGAAUACUUUUUUAAAAAAUUGUUUAACCUAUUUCGACAGGAGCACUCGUUCUACCUCUACCUAUUAGAAGGCAGCCAAGGACUUGAGGAACAUUGGUAAACAUCCUUAUCCAAUAAAGUCUGACAAAUAUAUACAGUUGUAUGACAACCCACAAACUAUAUGGAACAUUUCCAUCAAGCCAACAAAUUCUCUCAAUUCUCUUUGUAGGUAAGUCUCCUCCCAAACCUAGAAAGACAACUGCCGUCUUUCUGUCACCACACUUGCCUUUCCUGGCAUUUCAUAUAAAUUGUAUGCAGCACAAUUUAUGCAUGCAAUAUACAGACUUCUGUGUCUGUUAUUUUUCUACUUAGCUUACUGUUUUUGAAAUUUAAUCAUGUAUAUGGGUAGCAACAUUUUGUUCCUUUUUAUUGACAAGUAGUUUUCCUUUAUAUGUAUAUAUCACAGUUAAAAAAAAAUCUAUUCACCAGUUGAUGGGUAUUUCGGUUGUUUUCCAUUUAGAAUGAUUAUGAACAGAAGUACUAUGAGCAUUCCCAAACAAAACACUGCAUGCACAUGUUUUCAUUUCUCUUGGAUAAAUUUUAGAGAGUAGAAAUGUUGGGUCAUGUGGUAAGUGUAUGGUAACUUUAUAAUAAAAUGCCAAAAUGUUUUCCAAAGUGGCUAUAACGUUUUUCAUUUCCACUUGCAAUAUGUGAGAAUUCCAUUUGCUCUAUAUCCUCAAUAAUACUCAGUACUUUUUAAAUUUAGCCAUUCUAAUAGGUAUGCCGUAUCUCUCUCUCUCUCUUUUUUUUUAAGGGCCACACCCACGGCAUAUGGAGGUUCUCAGGCUAGGGGUUGACUCAGAGCUAUAGCCGCUGGCCUACACCAAAGCCACAGCAACCCAGGAUCCAAGUCACAUGUGUGACCUACACCACAGCUCACGGCAACUCUGGACCCUUAACCCACUGAGCAAGGCCAGGGAUUGAACCUGCGUCCUCACUGAUGCUAGUCAGAUUUGCUUCUGCCAUGAUGGUAACUCCCUAUGCAGUGUAUCUCACUGUGGUUUUAAUUUGCACUUCUCUGAUAACAAUGACAUAGAACAUUUUUUCAGGUGUUACUGGACACUUACGUAUCUUCUUUGAUGGAGUUUAGAUUGUCUUUUAAAAACAAAUUAGAUUGUCUUUUUUUCUUUUCUUUUCUUUUUUGAUUGUAUGAGUUCUUUAUAUCUUAUGGAUACAAGUCCUCUUUCAAAUAUAUAUUUUACAAAUAUUUUCUCCCAGCCUGUGACUUAUCAUUUAAUUUUCUUAAUAGGGCCUUUUCUUACAGUAUAUUUUGAAAAGCAGAGGUUUUUAUUUUGUUAUCUGUGCUUUUGCAUGCUAGUUAAGAAAUUUUUUGCCUAAGAGGAAAACAGUGCUAAUAUUAAUGAAAUACAUGUCAUCUAUUUUCGAAAGGAGACAGUCUGAGUGGCUGACUGGUAGGCAGACAGCCAGUCAGGCUGGACGCUAACAGGGUGUGUAGGUACCUAGGGGUUCAGGACUUUUGGAUAAAUACACUGUUCUCACCAUAGGUCUUUGCAGCAAAACCAGACCCAUGUAAACUACACUGAUCUGAGUCUUCAUGUUCUCUGC